GCCAGGCGUGGUGGCGCAUGCCUGUAAUCCCAGCUACUCGGGAGGCUGAGGCAGGAGAAUUGCUUGAACCUGGGAGGCAGAGGUUGCAGUGAGCCGAGAUUGCGCCACUGCACUCCAGCCUGGGUGACAGAGCAAGACUCUGUCUCGG
rnacentral:SRP_RNA from 1 species